rnacentral:lncRNA from 1 species
UGCAUUUAAUCAACACAUAAAAGACUAAAAUACCCCUAACCCUCUUACCAGUCACCCUUCCUCUUUCUUAUCCACGCACCCUCAUCUCACACCAGCGCCAUUCUUUCUUCUAUAACAUCAAACCCAUCAACAAAUUAGAUUUACAACUCCAAAAUCAUAUCCUUAAACUCCAAAAUCAGACCCUUAAACUCCAAAGUCGGAUCCGAGGCGUUGGAAUCAGGAAGGUAUCUGUCAAUCUUUUUACGACUUCUCUUUAACUGAUCUUUCUCUGUUUUUUUUCUGUUCAUUAUCCUUUGUUUCUGGAUAACUACGCAGAGUUCUUAGAACAUGACGAAAUCAAAGAAGUGGGUAGCUGGCAUAAGCAUCGACGUAAACUUAGAAGAGCAGACGUGGAGAAACAGAGAAAAGUUAAGGGGAAUAAAAGUAAAGAUCAAAUAAAUAAAUUAAGAUGGAUAAGAAGUGUUUUGCAAAUUUUCUCAACUUGUAAGAACGUAUGGGGAUAGUUUUCUACGACUUUUGUUACUAUGUUCUUAUUUGGUAAAACCUGUUAGCUUGUUUGUAUGGAAUAGUUUGUUUGUUCAAAAACAAAUGUGGAUUUCAUUUCAUUUUAUGGUCAGUCUACUAGUUAUGUCGUUAUUUUCUAGGAUUGUGUUUGAUGAGUCUGGAUUGGCGGCAAGGAAAGGGGUUCCUUACAGCCAGCAGAUAAAACGUGAAAUGGGUGACUUUGUUUAUAUGAAAUAAUUUAAUUACAACGCCCAA